rnacentral:tRNA from 1 species
CCUGGUGGCUUAGAUGGUAAAGAAUCUGCCUGCAAAGCAGGAGACCCAGGUUCAACCCCUGGGUCAGGA